UCCAAGGGGGUCACGCGGAUGAGUGUAAACUCCAUUGUGGUGGCGCUACUGUCGAUCUUUAAACUCUUGAACCAUGGCGCUUCGGGAUUGACGUCAAACAGUGGUAGCAAAGCAGUUUAAACGUAUUUACAUUUACUGAUUAAGACACAUAUGCACAUCUUUAAUCGAAACCUUUAUCAAGUAUGUACACAGUGACAUGCUGAAUUCCUUUCAAAGCAAAACAUCGAACCACUAAGGUUUUUCGUACGGUGGGAAAAGGACGGAAGUGUCAGAUCAUCACAUCGCCAAAGGGAUAGAACCAUCUUGCCCUAUUCAGCAUUGAAACACCUUCUUUCCCAAAGUUUGAUGGGGGACGAAAAAAAGGAAAAAUCAUUGUAUGCGUAUUAGUCUAGUACUACUUUUUUUGGCCUAGCCCAUUCUCUUCUUCCGGCAAAAUGAUGAUUUGCGGGCGGCAAAUAUUUAUGAUAAAGUCAAAUGACUUGCAUGUUUGUUUUUUUUUGUGCUAUUCUUCACAGUUCUAUGGCAAGAAGAACUAGCAUGGCUAAUUCACUGCAAAAGAAUAUUGGGGUGAAAAAAAGAAUUUGUCAUCUUUCCGAAGAGUUCACAAAAUAAUUCGGACAAUAUAAUUAUGCGCGUAAGGUUGUCACACACUAUCCGGAAUCUCACACAUCCUCUACAAUAUUUUUUUCUUAACCAGAAAUGUUGUGUACGUUGUGGUUUUACUACGACGGCAGCGUCAUAUCCCUUGGAAAAACACAAGAAAAAUCGUAAGGCAACAGCGUAAUCGACGAAAAACCACAAGGUUUCCGAUAAAAUAACAAAGCAACUUGUUUUUUUUUUUGAAUUCGUUCUCUGUGGCUCUUGGUUAAAGGCCUAUAUGGUGAAAUUGGAAUGCGUGUUAGCGACCCUGUCCUGAAUUUGUUGCUGGGCACAGCCGAGCAAACCGGUUAACGCAACCCAAUAAAGAAGAAAAUUGAAGUUUGAUAUGCCACUACCUAUGAAAUAUACCUAGACAUUGGGAGACACAGUUGGCUAAUCACAGCGGAGAACAAUGCAGCUGGUUUGCAAAUUGUGUCAACAUGGAUCGACAACUUGCCAAGUUGCCAUGCGGGUGGGACACACAAAAAAAACGAAUUCGAUUAAAAUCGCAAUUUUCAAUGUCCCCGCGGUCAUGUUUUUAUCUGAUGGCGACGAGCAAUUCUUGGACGCGGUUUUGGAAUUAUUCACACCAGAGCCAGGAACCGUUCUUUUUUUACUACUAGAUACUACUACUCAGCUAUUUUGUUCAAAAGAAAGCAAGAAACGAAAAAGAAUUUUAUUUCGUUUCUACCUGCGUCGUUGGAUGGCAAGAAACAUUUGACCUUGUCUGUUGUGACGGAAAAGCCAACGACGAUGACCAAAAAGCACAAAGAGAUAGAGAGCUCGUUUCAAUGCCACGUCCUUGUCCUCUGUUAUUUGUUUUGUUUGUUAAACUAACCUCUUCUUCUUUACAGAUUGGAUUCCACCAUUUUCGAACGAGUGCUGGCUGUUGCCUAUCUCAUAUUAUCUAUAAACUGAAUAGUCUGAUAAGUGAUACAUGUCGAAACACAUCCACAUUUAUCACCGUCUGCGUAGACCAACUGCAGCGACAUUUACCCAAAUGGUCAAACGGAGGCUACGUGGUGUUACACGAUGGCUCGCAUAUCCUGAUUAGAAAAAAGAAAAAUACGAUUGAUAUUCGUGACGCAAAUCGCAGCUCAUGACGAUCUGCCUUUUAUUUGAUUGCCUAUCAUUAUUGUCACUGUCUGUGUGCAAUAGGGCAAACAAACCUAAUGCUGCAUUGCUGUAGAACGCAGGUUAUCUUGUUAUAUUCACACUGCGACAGUUGUCGACCUAACGUUAUUUUUUUUUUACAAGGACAACCUAUCCGUAGUGGGAACUCGUGCACAUUGUUUUCUACCCAACUGAUAAUGUUCAACGUGUCGUAAUUGGCGUGUAGCCUACACAGUUCGGCUUUUCUUCUGUUUCGUUCUGCCGCUAUUGUUUCGUCCAAGUAAACCGGUUACGGGCAUAGGUGCGCCUGUGCAUCGAUGAAAUAGGGAGGGAAAAAAAACACAAUCACGUGACUGGCAGCCUCUUUUUUUUGUUAUCUUAACUAGGAUUUUGUCUCAAGGAGAGUCAGAUAUAGAAUAACUAUGGCGUUACACAUUGCAGAUUAUCUGCUACGUGCAACUUUAGGAACUGAAAGAGGGGGGGAAAAAUCCGUAAGCACGCAACGAUGUGUAAUAAAAGGAAAAAGAUUUUUUAAUAAAAUGUAUAGCGUCUUUUGCAACAUAAUACUAAGGAGGAAAACCAGUUUAAAGGGGAUUAACAUGCCGGCGCACCUGUGUGUCAAUAAUAAUAAAAAAGUGACACACGCAGACAAAGUGGACGUAUUAGUUUAAGUCUGAUCACGGUUGACUUGCGUGAAAAAUUCGUCUAGGCUGGUCGUGUUACCUGCGGAUGUGAAUCGCCUGUUUAUUAAAGCAACAAAAUUUUGAUGAUUCGGCAAUGUUACCAAAGAAAGAAAAACUCAAUAAAAAAAAGCAUGCCGAUUUAAAACUUUUUGCUCGAAAGAAAUGACUGCAUGACGUAAUUUCAAUUACAUUGUCGGUGUCUUUUUUUUUCUUUCCAAGUUGUCACAUAAAAUUAUCGCACGCUUUUUAUCUCGUUGGCAUCAAGGGUAGAACCACCACAAAUUUUUUAAGAUUUGUUAUCGUGAUAGGAAAAAAAAUGCGUUUUUCAAAAAGUUCCUUACGACUGUUUAGUUAUGCUUGAGUGUUCCAUGUUCGUCUGGCCAGGAUCAAAACAAGUGAAUCGCAUUCGCAGACACGAACGCCUCGUAAUAUAACAACCAAGAGAACAUACCAAAAACCUCUUGAAUAUUGAGAAAAGUUCCAAUACGUCAAAACAACAAGAAAUUAACUAAGGGGAAAGAAAAAGAAUAAUAUUAAAAAUAAAAAAGGUUAAUUUUUAUUUCGCCUGUAGAAUGUCCCUUUUUUCUUUGAAAGGAAAAAUAGAAAGAAUUUGGUCGAUGGAUAAGAAAUGUUUAAUCGGCAAUUCUUGGAAGGCAUUUUUUUCUUCCAUUGUUUACUUUUUGUACGUAAUGUAAUGUCGGCACGCUCUGUGUGAAACGCCAAAUAGGAACGAAAAAGGUCUGCUCUGUCUAGUCUAGCAAGCUCAUGGUAUAUACAGUGCUAUAUCUGACUACACCAGCCAUAAAAAAGCGAAAUACACACAGCAAAAAAUAAACGCCAAAAUCCCGUGUGUGUGUGAACUUACCUUGGCAACGAGAAAAUUUACUGUCUCGAAGGGGAUGAACAACGAUGAGGAAUAGCUCCGGGCAUCAAGUCUACCACUAACUCGGGAACGUGAUGA